UACAGAGGUCUCAAGCGUUGUUCGGAUUCAUUGGGCGUAAAGCGUGCGCAGGCGGUUUUGUAAGUCUGUCGUGAAAUCCCCGGGCUCAACCUGGGAAUGGCGAUGGAGACUGCAAGGCUAGAGUUUGGCAGAGGGGGGUAGAAUUCCACGUGUAGCAGUGAAAUGCGUAGAUAUGUGGAGGAACACCGAUGGCGAAGGCAGCCCCCUGGGUCAAAACUGACGCUCAUGCACGAAAGCGUGGGGAGCAAACAGG
rnacentral:rRNA from 1 species